rnacentral:rRNA from 1 species
GACGAACGCUGGCGGCGUGCCUAACACAUGCAAGUCGAACGGGGUAGCCCUUCGGGGUUACUUAGUGGCGAACGGGUGAGUAACGCGUGAGAAACCUGCCUUUCAGUGGGGGACAACAGUUGGAAACGACUGCUAAUACCGCAUAACGUAUUUUAGGGGCAUCCCUUUGAUACCAAAGCUUUAUGUGCUGAAAGAUGGUCUCGCGUCUGAUUAGCUAGAUGGCGGGGUAACGGCCCACCAUGGCGACGAUCAGUAGCCGGUCUGAGAGGAUGAACGGCCACAUUGGGACUGAGAUACGGCCCAGACUCCUACGGGAGGCAGCAGUGGGGAAUAUUGGGCAAUGGGCGAAAGCCUGACCCAGCGACGCCGCGUGAGGGAAGACGGUCUUCGGAUUGUAAACCUCUUUCAGCAGGAGAC